UACGUAGGGCGCGAGCGUUGUCCGGAUUUAUUGGGCGUAAAGAGCUCGUAGGCGGCUUGUCGCGUCGACCGUGAAAACUUGGGGCUCAACCCCCAGCCUGCAGUGGGUACGGGCAGACUAGAGUGCGGUAGGGGAGAGUGGAAUUCCUGGUGUAGCGGUGGAAUGCGCAGAUAUCAGGAGGAACACCGGUGGCGAAGGCAGAUCUCUGGGCCGUAACUGACGCUGAGGAGCGAAAGCAUGGGGAGCGAACAGG
rnacentral:rRNA from 1 species